rnacentral:tRNA from 1 species
GUGCCUGUAGCUCAGAUGGAUAGAGCGUUAGACUCCGGAUCUAAAGGCCGUCGGUUCGAAUCCGACCAGGCAUACCA